rnacentral:rRNA from 1 species
UACGGAGGGUGCGAGCGUUGUCCGGAUUCAUUGGGCGUAAAGGGUGCGUAGGUGGCGCGCUAAGUCAGGUGUGAAAUCUCGGGGCUUAACUCCGAAACUGCAUUUGAUACUGGCGUGCUUGAGGACUGGAGAGGAGACUGGAAUUCAUGGUGUAGCAGUGAAAUGCGUAGAGAUCAUGAGGAAGACCAGUGGCGAAGGCGGGUCUCUGGACAGUUCCUGACACUGAGGCACGAAGGCCAGGGGAGCAAACGGG